rnacentral:tRNA from 1 species
AUCUAGGUAGUUUAAAUAAAAACGUUGGUUUGUGGAACCAGAGAUAUAAAUCUUUAUUUUAGAUC